CUCAUCCUCUGUCGUCCCCUUCUCCUCCUGCCUUCAAUCUUCCCCAGCAUCAGGGUAUUUUCUAACGAGUUGGCUCUUCGCAUCAGGCCUUAGUUGUGACACAUGGGUUCUUCACUGCAAUCCUACACGUUGCAGAGUGUGGGAUUCUCUCUACUUGUGGUGCAUGGAUUCAGUUGCCACAUGGCAUGUGGUAUCUUAGUUCCCUGACCAGGAAUCAAACCCAUGUCCCCUGCAUUGGAAGGUGGAUUCUUAACUACCAGGCCACCAGUUUACGCAUUGGAGUUUUGACCUCAAUAUGCAAAUGAAUGCAAACUAAUACAAUGUGGUACAGUUGGUAAAGAAUCCUCGUGCCAAUUCAAG
ensembl:lncRNA